AUUAGUUUGGACAGUGAUUUUCAUGAAGAGGAAUGAAGUCGCAUGUUGUUCUGUAACUAUGGGCAUUCAGCUAUCCAGCUUCCUUCUAGAAUGGUCAUUACAAUGGUAAAUGAAAUGGAAAUAACCAAGAUUAGUGGUAUCACAAGUGUUACUUCUAUCAUGCCAUGUCUGAAAGUAAGUAUGCAUAUGAUGGCACACCACUUUGUUGUUUAAGGAUUGUGCCAGCAAUCUUGAUUCAACACAGUGUGAUCUGUUGAUUAAGUACACCGAUGAAUUUAUAGGACCAAAUGGCCAACUGGGUAAAACCAAAGUCAUCAUCACAUAGCUAUCAUGCAGGCUUUUCUGGAGCAAUACAGAUGUAGCCAGUACUAAAGUACAGAGGAGGAUAAAGAAGGGAAUUAUACAGCCUUCAGGUAGUACUUAAUCAUCUCCAAUAGUGAUUGUCAGGAAGGAGAGCAUGCCAAAAUUUUAUUUUGAUUUCAUAUGGAUGAAUGUAGUAACUCCCGUUGAUUUCUUCCCAUUCCUGUAUGGUUUACCAUAAAUCAGCUGCUGAUGUAGAAGACCUGCUUUCAGGGCUUUAGAAAGGUUCAAGAGAGAAUUUCGAAAUAGAGUUCAACGACGUAACCAUCUCCGAAGGCGAGAAGAACAGUUCUUUGAGAUGAAUAGCUCAAACGUCACGGUGCUCUCAGCUAGACAGUCUUUUCCUGAAUCUGGAACUGGACAAACACAUUCCCAUUGAACGGACGCUAUCUUGUGGGACAAUUUCAACGAGUACAAGCCGAAACAGAUGUCAACGACCUGCGCUGAUGAUAUAUAAUAAUUUGGUUACCGAAUCACGAAUAUUUUAAUGUUGAUGUAUUUGUAUUUAACGGUGCGGGGCUGCAUAUAUGUAGUGGACAGUGAGAUUUGGUAUAUCAACCUGCAAACGGUAUUAAACAGAAAUUAUUUGAAUUGAAAAAUCAUAAUUGUUUUUUACUCUCCAGAUUAAAACAUGAACAGGUUGGUUUAUAGAAGAACAGUUGACAUGAAUAACUUAACUUAUUAAUUUACCACAGAUCCAAACAAAUAUUCUAUGGUAUGAAGAUUUGUUCUAAAAUAUUUUGUUGAAAUAUCGCUUAUGAACAUUUACUGUACACCUUCAUUAAUAAUAAUAGUGUUAAAACAAAGUUUUAUUUACCCCAAAUUUACCAUGAACUUCAAGAACUUUUUGAAAUAAUAACAUGCUCAAAUAUUUUAUUACAUAAGAGUGCACAGAAAGACCAAUACGUAAAUCAUAAUAAAGUUUAUUUUAUUGUUCAAUUUGUCAAAUAUCAAUUUUAUAUGAAAAUAAUAACUUUAUAAAGCAUUAAUACCUGCUCUGGGUUUCUCCUCAAAUGUAAGGUUUAUAAAAAUAUUAAGUGUUUAUUUUGCUCAAGUGAUCUUAUACAAAAAAAAUAUU